UGAGCAGCAGCCACCAGGGUCUCACUCAUAUCUCAGAUCGAAGUUGUUUUAUCGUCGUGGCUAGCUUCCUGUUCUUCGCACUGUUUUAAUUGAUGUUCCCAAUCCCAUAGUUUUCAAACUCCUUCUUUUAGGGUUCUUAAUUCAUUCACCAUGGAACGCAUCAUCGCCUCCAAGUACAAGCUCGGCCGCAAGAUCGGAAGCGGUUCCUUCGGCGAAAUCUACCUAGCUACGCAUGUUGAUACCUUCGAGAUCGUCGCCGUCAAGAUCGAGAACACUAAAACGAAGCAUCCUCAAUUGCUUUAUGAGGCCAAGCUUUACAACAUUCUCCAAGGAGGAAGUGGCAUUCCUAGCAUAAGAUGGUCUGGUGUAGAUGGGGAGGAUAAUGUUCUUGUGAUGGAUUUGCUGGGGCCUAGUCUUGAGGAUCCCUUUGUGUAUUGUGGAAGAAAGUUCUCAUUGAAGACAGUAUUGAUGUUGGCUGAUCAAAUGAUGACUAGAAUAGAAUACGUGCAUUCCAAAGGUUUUCUACAUAGAGAUAUAAAGCCUGACAACUUCCUCAUGGGACUUGGUCGGAAAGCAAACCAGGUUUACAUAAUUGAUUUUGGGCUUGCAAAACGAUAUCGGGACUCUACAACCAAUCGCCACAUCCCUUACAGGGAGAACAAAAACUUAACGGGGACUGCACGCUAUGCAAGUUGCAAUACACAUCUUGGGAUUGAGCAAAGUCGGCGGGAUGAUUUGGAGUCAUUGGGAUAUGUGCUUCUCUACUUUCUCAGAGGAAGCCUUCCUUGGCAAGGUCUAAAGGCUGCAACAAAGAAGCAGAAGUAUGACAAAAUAUGUGAGAAGAAAGUGUCAACCCCUAUUGAGGUUCUUUGCAAAUCUCAUCCUGUAGAGUUUGCUUCAUACUUCCAUUACUGCCACUCUCUGACCUUCGAUCAGCGACCUGACUAUGGAUUCUUGAAGCGCCUAUUUCGGGAACAAUUUGCUCGGGAAGGGUAUGAAUUUGAUUAUGUGUUUGAUUGGACUAUUUUAAAGUACCAGCAGGCACAAAAGAAUAGAGUCCAGGCUCACUCAUCUGUGGUCCCAGGAGCAAGCAACAGUCGUGCAACACCAAUGGACGAUGACAACCAUCGAGGUGAUGCUACAGAGCACAUUAAAUCAGGCAAUGCCACUGGCUCUGGUGUUAAAUUUCAGUUUAAGUCACCUGCUGUUAAAAAUCCACUCGACAAGAACGACAAGAAUAUUUUUGGCGAAGCAAAUAUACCCUCUACUUCCCAUUCUCAUGCUGGUCCCUCAAAAAGGAACUCCUUGAAGCCUGCUCCGUCCUCCGAUGCUGUUAACCCUGGCCUUGGGCAAGGCAGUAAAGUUGGCCCUUCAAGUAGCUGGAUUUCAUCUCUGCAUCGCAUAUCAUCUGCCAAAUGAACAUCCAAUAUGCUGUGGAAGUGGUCCUGAAGAGUGCCUUCUGCGUACAUGAAGUUGCAAUUAAUGGUGGAUGGCUUGCAUCGUUUGUAUGCUUUUAGUCAAUAUUUCAAGUACUCUCUCCACGAAGACUGCAAAGGUGCUACAAGGUUGAUAAAUUUCAUAGCUCAAUUUUUGAGGUCAUCGUGUGUUGCUUUUUCCCAAAGGUAGAACAAAUAUGGCGCUCAGCCAGAUUAGAUUGUACAAUUCUUGGGAUGAAUGAGUUGUAAUUUUGUGUAGUUCAAGGGUUUCUUUUCUCAAUCAUGACUGAAGGAUGAAAUAUAACAGUCUACUAGAAUUUGUGUGAUGCCACCAUCAACCAGAACAUAUGACUCUAGACAGAUUGGAUUGACAUAGUGCUCGGGGACUUCUCGAGCCUGAGAUGUGAUAUGGAUAUUUAAUUGCUAUGAUUCUCUCUGUAAACAGAUUGCAAAUUUCAUUUUCAGCUAGUCUAAAUGAUUGGCUGAUGCAGUUAGGUGCUGAUUCUGGGAAGUUCUCUGCCCAGAUGAAAAGAUUUUCUAAGAAUUGGUGCAUCUGAAGGUGGUUAACUUCAUGUCUAGAAUUAAGUUUUGUUAAGGGCAUUACUGAGAGUUGAAUACGUUUCGUUUUUGAACGAAGAUAAAUUGUAAGUUUCAUGGUUCCUUCGCUUCAAUGUGAUGAGUAUCCAUCAUUCGUUGCUGACAUAUGCAUCAUAUGUUGCAUUAUUGUGGAGCUGCAGAAUUUGUUAGAAUAUCAGGCAUUCAUGGUGAAUAUUGAAGCCAUAAACGUGUACACUAUCUGAAGGUAUUUUUAUUCAAGCACUUUUGUAAUACUGUAGUAGAUACCCCAGGAUCAACUAGUGUUUGGUAUGAACAGAGAUCAUGAAGAUUUCAGAUUCCAGAGCACAUGCUAUGUCAUUGGUGUUUUUAAAAUACCAAGUAUUGAAAUGCAGUCUGAGGUGUGAAGUGAAUGGAAAUUGUGCUUGAAACAGAGGAGUAAUUUGAUUCUUGAA